rnacentral:rRNA from 1 species
GGGUUGUGAGGUUAAGCGACUAAGCGUACACGGUGGAUGCCCUGGCAGUCAGAGGCGAUGAAGGACGUGCUAAUCUGCGAUAAGCGUCGGUAAGGUGAUAUGAACCGUUAUAACCGGCGAUUUCCGAAUGGGGAAACCCAGUGUGUUUCGACACACUAUCAUUAACUGAAUCCAUAGGUUAAUGAGGCGAACCGGGGGAACUGAAACAUCUAAGUACCCCGAGGAAAAGAAAUCAACCGAGAUUCCCCCAGUAGCGGCGAGCGAACGGGGAGCAGCCCAGAGCCUGAAUCAGUGUGUGUGUUAGUGGAAGCGUCUGGAAAGGCGCGCGAUACAGGGUGACAGCCCCGUACACAAAAAUGCACAUGCUGUGAGCUCGAUGAGUAGGGCGGGACACGUGGUAUCCUGUCUGAAUAUGGGGGGACCAUCCUCCAAGGCUAAAUACUCCUGACUGACCGAUAGUGAACCAGUACCGUGAGGAAAGGCGAAAAGAACCCCGGCGAGGGAGUGAAAAAGAACCUGAAACCGUGUACGUACAAGCAGUGGGAGCACGCUUAGGCGUGUGACUGCGUACCUUUUGUAUAAUGGGUCAGCGACUUAUAUUCUGUAGCAAGGUUAACCGAAUAGGGGAGCCGAAGGGAAACCGAGUCUUAACUGGGCGUUAAGUUGCAGGGUAUAGACCCGAAACCCGGUGAUCUCAGCCAUGGGCAGGUUGAAGGUUGGGUAACACUAACUGGAGGACCGAACCGACUAAUGUUGAAAAAAAUUAGCGGAUGACUUGUGGCUGGGGGUGAAAGGCCAAUCAAACCGGGAGAUAGCUGGUUCUCCCCGAAAGCUAUUUAGGUAGCGCCUCGUGAAUUCAUCUCCGGGGGUAGAGCACUGUUUCGGCAAGGGGGUCAUCCCGACUUACCAACCCGAUGCAAACUGCGAAUACCGGAGAAUGUUAUCACGGGAGACACACGGCGGGUGCUAACGUCCGUCGUGAAGAGGGAAACAACCCAGACCGCCAGCUAAGGUCCCAAAGUCAUGGUUAAGUGGGAAACGAUGUGGGAAGGCCCAGACAGCCAGGAUGUUGGCUUAGAAGCAGCCAUCAUUUAAAGAAAGCGUAAUAGCUCACUGGUCGAGUCGGCCUGCGCGGAAGAUGUAACGGGGCUAAACCAUGCACCGAAGCUGCGGCAGCGACGCUUAUGCGUUGUUGGGUAGGGGAGCGUUCUGUAAGCCUGCGAAGGUGUGCUGUGAGGCAUGCUGGAGGUAUCAGAAGUGCGAAUGCUGACAUAAGUAACGAUAAAGCGGGUGAAAAGCCCGCUCGCCGGAAGACCAAGGGUUCCUGUCCAACGUUAAUCGGGGCAGGGUGAGUCGACCCCUAAGGCGAGGCCGAAAGGCGUAGUCGAUGGGAAACAGGUUAAUAUUCCUGUACUUGGUGUUACUGCGAAGGGGGGACGGAGAAGGCUAUGUUGGCCGGGCGACGGUUGUCCCGGUUUAAGCGUGUAGGCUGGUUUUCCAGGCAAAUCCGGAAAAUCAAGGCUGAGGCGUGAUGACGAGGCACUACGGUGCUGAAGCAACAAAUGCCCUGCUUCCGGGGAAAAGCCUCUAAGCAUCAGGUAACAUCAAAUCGUACCCCAAAACCGACACAGGUGGUCAGGUAGAGAAUACCAAGGCGCUUGAGAGAACUCGGGUGAAGGAACUAGGCAAAAUGGUGCCGUAACUUCGGGAGAAGGCACGCUGAUAUGUAGGUGAAGUCCCUCGCGGAUGGAGCUGAAAUCAGUCGAAGAUACCAGCUGGCUGCAACUGUUUAUUAAAAACACAGCACUGUGCAAACACGAAAGUGGACGUAUACGGUGUGACGCCUGCCCGGUGCCGGAAGGUUAAUUGAUGGGGUUAGCGCAAGCGAAGCUCUUGAUCGAAGCCCCGGUAAACGGCGGCCGUAACUAUAACGGUCCUAAGGUAGCGAAAUUCCUUGUCGGGUAAGUUCCGACCUGCACGAAUGGCGUAAUGAUGGCCAGGCUGUCUCCACCCGAGACUCAGUGAAAUUGAACUCGCUGUGAAGAUGCAGUGUACCCGCGGCAAGACGGAAAGACCCCGUGAACCUUUACUAUAGCUUGACACUGAACAUUGAGCCUUGAUGUGUAGGAUAGGUGGGAGGCUUUGAAGUGUGGACGCCAGUCUGCAUGGAGCCGACCUUGAAAUACCACCCUUUAAUGUUUGAUGUUCUAACGUUGACCCGUAAUCCGGGUUGCGGACAGUGUCUGGUGGGUAGUUUGACUGGGGCGGUCUCCUCCUAAAGAGUAACGGAGGAGCACGAAGGUUGGCUAAUCCUGGUCGGACAUCAGGAGGUUAGUGCAAUGGCAUAAGCCAGCUUGACUGCGAGCGUGACGGCGCGAGCAGGUGCGAAAGCAGGUCAUAGUGAUCCGGUGGUUCUGAAUGGAAGGGCCAUCGCUCAACGGAUAAAAGGUACUCCGGGGAUAACAGGCUGAUACCGCCCAAGAGUUCAUAUCGACGGCGGUGUUUGGCACCUCGAUGUCGGCUCAUCACAUCCUGGGGCUGAAGUAGGUCCCAAGGGUAUGGCUGUUCGCCAUUUAAAGUGGUACGCGAGCUGGGUUUAGAACGUCGUGAGACAGUUCGGUCCCUAUCUGCCGUGGGCGCUGGAGAAUUGAGGGGCUGCUCCUGGUACGAGAGGACCGGAGUGGACGCAUCACUGGUGUUCGGGUUGUCAUGCCAAUGGCACUGCCCGGUAGCUAAAUGCGGAAGAGAUAAGUGCUGAAAGCAUCUAAGCACGAAACUUGCCCCGAGAUGAGUUCUCCCUGACUCCUUGAGAGUCCUGAAGGAACGUUGAAGACGACGACGUUGAUAGGCCGGGUGUGUAAGCGCAGCGAUGCGUUGAGCUAACCGGUACUAAUGAACCGUGAGGCUUAACCUUACAACGCCGAAG